GGCCUAUUUACUACGUAAAUCAAACACCAGAGCCACUACAGCAUGGUUAUUGUACCCAGGGCCGGAUUAACAUAGGGACUGAUGGAGCUGCAACUCCAGGCCCAUGCCUAUGGAAUUUGUUUUGGCUACUCUUCACAUGCUCUUGCUUAAGUAUGGAGACUUAAGAGGGAUGUAGGUGAACAAAACUGGUGCGGAGUGGCUGACAAUGAAGUUAGUUGAGUUAAAGCUGAGUUUGCGCACUACUUGCUCCCAGACUGCACAACAAGAGCUUCUGCCUGCUAGUAAGAAGGUUAGUAUAGGAAUGGACCAGCAGGUGCUAGGGAACAGUCCUUAGAAAGCAUAGAGCUAGUGCAUCAUUAAACGCAAUUAUGCCAAGCUAAGUAUGCUGUCUGCACAGUAUGCCCUUGGUUGGUCAUCUUGCAUGAUUGGAAGGGAGCCUGACGUGCAUUCACGCCAGGCUGUCCAUCUAAUUCCUCGUGCAGAUAUGCUUCUUUUUGGGCAUGUUUGUCCCUUUGUGCAGUUCUCGAAAGGUGAUUCACAUCAGUGGCACACCCUUUUAUCCCGCCCACCAAAAUCCUACUUCACUGGACACUGCUGCUAGGAGGUAUGGAUUUACUUGAAAGAUGAAAGGGAGAGAUUAGCAUAGGGUUUGUGUUUUCUGAUAGCUAUAUCCUGUGAGUUUCCCUCCAACACCACCUCCACUAGAUACAUGACGUUUGGGAGGUAUAACUGUUUUAGUGUUUUCUGUUGAUAAUAUUCUGUAAUUAGGCCCAUCGUAAUUGUCAGCACCAGGCCCAAUGGGCUUUUAAUCUGGCCCUGGCCUUAGGUUGACUCCCCUUACAUCUAAGGGGAGGCACCCUAAGGCGAUCUUCUUAUCAACAUCUUGGGAGUUCAACUUUAUUGGCGCAGUUUUAUUGUUCAUUUACAGCAUUACACUAUUGUAUUGUGGUUUUUU